ACGUAGGGUGCGAGCGUUAAUCGGAAUUACUGGGCGUAAAGCGCACGUAGUGGCUUUGCAAGUCGAUUGUGAAAUCCCCGGGCUUAACCUGGGAACUGCAGUCGAGACUGCUUUGCUUGAGUAUGGGAGAGGGAGGUGGAAUUUCCGGUGUAGCGGUGAAAUGCGUAGAUAUCUGGAGGAACACCGGUGGCGAAGGCGGCAUCCUGGACCGGUGUUGACGCUGAGGCGCGAAAGCCAGGGGAGCAAACGGGA
rnacentral:rRNA from 1 species